UAGGGAAUCUUCCGCAAUGGGCGAAAGCCUGACGGAGCAACGCCGCGUGAGUGAAGAAGGAUUUCGGUUCGUAAAGCUCUGUUGUUAGGGAAGAAUGAUUGUGUAGUAACUAUACACAGUAGAGACGGUACCUAACCAGAAAGCCACGGCUAACUACGUGCCAGCAGCCGCGGUAAUACGUAGGUGGCAAGCGUUGUCCGGAAUUAUUGGGCGUAAAGCGCGCGCAGGUGGUUUAAUAAGUCUGAUGUGAAAGCCCACGGCUCAACCGUGGAGGGUCAUUGGAAACUGUUAAACUUGAGUGCAGGAGAGAAAAGUGGAAUUCCUAGUGUAGCGGUGAAAUGCGUAGAGAUUAGGAGGAACACCAGUGGCGAAGGCGGCUUUUUGGCCUGUAACUGACACUGAGGCGCGAAAGCAUGGGGAGCAAACAGGAUUAGAUACCCUGGUAGUCCACGCCGUAAACGAUGAGUGCUAAGUGUUGGUCUCAUAAGAGAUCAGUGCUGCAGCUAACGCAUUAAGCACUCCGCCUGGGGAGUACGACCGCAAGGUUG
rnacentral:rRNA from 1 species